AUUUCCCCUCAGCCAGCCUUCCUGUGGUUCUGGGUGAUGUCCGUUCUGUCUUUAAUUGUAUUUUUGAAGUGGUUGUGCAAGGCAGCAAUCUCCGGUGUUUACCUAUGCCGCCAUCUUGGUUUCCCUCUGCAGUGUUUUUUAAGCAAGGACACUUUGAAGUCUAAAUAUAAAGAUUCUAGUAAAACACUGGGGUUGGGGGUUGGGGAGGAAGGUUCAUACUUGAUUGGAAAAGUCAAGGCAGGGGCUGCUGCCUUCAGCAAAGUCCCCCUCGAGGCCCCCGACCUUCCAGAGAUGCCUCCUGACAGACCUUCCAACCAAGUCCCGUGCUGCCCCACAUGCUGGACCCGGGUCUUCCAGGCCCGCCUACCACAAGACACCUGUGUGUACGGGGCUACUGGGUCCUCUUCUUAGAAUAGUGCAGGGGUGUGGGCAGGGCUUCUCGCCUCCACUUGGGGAAAGAUGGUGGGAGUGGAGGGUGAAGCAGACAAAAGGGGACAUGGGGAGAUGCCCCGCAAGGGGCAUCAGGGUAUCUUGUCGUGUGGGCUUUGGAGCAGGGAGCAGCGCUUGGGACUGAUGGCCUGAGUCAGAGCACAAGGGGGCGACUCACCAGCGUGACCGUGGGCUCACCAGUGCGACCGUGGGCUCACCAGUGUGGCCUUGGACUCACCAGUGCGACCGUGGGCAGCGGCUCAGCCUGCAGGAGGGUAACGGCGUCUGAAAGGACCUCGGAAGAGCCCACACAGUGUGUGAAGCCCCAGCACGCCAAUAUUGUGACGGCUGUCGGAUCAUCAUCAGCAACAAUGACAACAUCUCCCCCUGCAGCCAAGCUUGAUUUUUAACCUUCUGCACUUGGACAGGAGAUGUAACCAGACAAACAUCGGGUCUGUGCCCGUCACUACCUGAGCCAAGUCGGCAGAAACGGUGAAUCCUAUGAGCGUGUGUUCCAGUCCUGCCGGCAGCUGGAGAGCAGCAGGUCACCCACAGAAAUCUGCCCGCCCCCCCCCCACUCUCCCCCAGUUGCUGUAUUGGGUAGAAGGACAGAGAUUACAGGGGAAGGAGGCAGAGGGUGUGCCAGAUGGGCCGUUCACAGGCAAUGCGGGCUGGAUAUGCAAAGGCCUGUGGGUAAGCAAAGGCCUGUGAGUAAGCAAAGGCUGGGGCCUUGACGGGCUGGGGGCUCUGGUCUCUGCAAUGAGGCUGCUCGUCUUUCAUGAUCACGGGCAGCUCCUGGUGGGGGGGGGAUGGGUCCCACUGCAGCUCCCAGCCAGGUGAGCAUGCGCCUCUGCAACCAGAACAGCAAUCCCGGCCACAGAGCAGGACUCGCCUUCCUCGCAGUCACAGCUGGCCCCGCGUUCCGUUUCUGCCCCUGUCAGAGGGACCCAGUGGGGGCAGCUGGGUAGUUUCCCACCGUUUUUUUGUGGGUUUUUUUUUUUCCCAUCCAGGGAAUCCGCCAAAGGCUCUCUGCAUUUCAGGGAUGUGGCCAGAAGGUGGCAGAAUUUCACUGCCGUUGAAUGGGCACUAAGCCUCCCUCCCCAGUCAGGCCUGGCCACACCCCCUUCACAAGGGGUGGCCCUUCCCUCUUUCUGCAUGAACUGCAGGGGCCUUAUCCGAGGCUGUGGAAUGUGACCACAGGAUGACAGGCCCCCAGCUGAGUAGGGACAAGGGGCUUGCUGCUCACCCCAACCCAGCACGGGAGCUGCCGGGUCCCCUCCAUGUGGGCGCUGAGCCCUCGCUGUGGAUGGGAGGGUGGGCCUGCAGGAGAGGUUGGGUGGGCUCGGCAGGCUCCGUCCUGAAGCCUCUGAUGUGGGAGGGAUGGGGUUAUGGACAAGGCAGGCCACCAGGUAAGGGUGGGGUGGAAAGGCCGUCCUCAGAAUCAGGUGCCUGAGGGCUGCAGCCUGCAGAGCCCUGACUUCUAUCAUCCUCCUUCUCCCACCCACAGAGCAAAGGCAUCUACUUGCCGUCUGAUUGACAACGCAGAGCUCUGAAGGGGGCCCAGGAAUAACUGCCCAGAGGGGGCGGGCAGAGGUGUGGGUCCAGCACCGCCCCCCCUCACUCCCCACUGAACCCUCCCUGGGGGAAGAGGCGCUGCCGGGCUUCCUCCUGGCGGGUGUGGGGCAGAGGGAGGGCUGAGCCCUCAGAUCCUCCAGCCAGAAAGGCGCGUCCUGUUGGGGGUCGGGGUUCGGAGGACAGGUCUGCAGGCUGCAGCACCGUGGCCCUGUCGCCUCUGUACCCCCAGGCGAGGCUGUGACCCCACCAAUGUGACCUGGGGCCGAGCCCAGGUGAAGGCAGCACAGGUCUGAAGGGAGCCGUCCGGCCUCAGGCUUCCGGUCAACAGCCUGGGUGGUGAGUCCCCCUCACUGGGCUGCCCAGGGCAAAGGUCGAUGCUGGCGAAAAGCAUCUGGUAAGAGUUUAAAGAAUGGGUAGGAACCGAGCUGAGUAGAUGGUCAGGUAUGACUGUGCCCAUUUCACAGGUAAAGAAACAGAGGCCGUGUGUCUCGGUGACCCACUGAAGGAUGCGUUGCUGAGAUAAGGUGGAGCGGACGCUGCCUCCAGGACACCCUCCUGCCCCCGCCCUCCUCAUCGCCCCGCCCCCUCCUCGCCCCGCCCCCUCCUCUCCCCUGGCCACGCAGCCUUCCAGACUCCGGGGUGCAGCAGGCUGGCGGCCUUCCUCUCAGGAGAGCUGGUGGGUGUUGAGGAUGGAGGAGGCUGGAGAUGGUCCAUGCAGAGCCAGGAAGAGGAAUAUCAAUCAGCUGCCUCCUGCACGCCCCCUACUGGGGAUCAGCCCUGACUGGGAAUAUCAACUGGCAACCUUUAAGCCAUGGGCUGACUCUCAACCUACGGAGCCACACCCCUGCGCUUCAGGCCCCAUCUUACUAGUUACUCCUCAGGGGCCUUCCAACCGCCCCUGACCCCAAUCUCAUGCCUUCGCCAGCUUCCUGUACAUUCUCCUCAUAACACACAGCACAGUGCUAAUUAAAUAUGAUCACGUGUA